GGGGAUGUGGCCCAGUGGUAGAGUACUUGCCUAGCAUGCAUGGGGCUUUGGGUUCAUCCCCA
rnacentral:tRNA from 1 species